UGGGGAACUCCUUUUGAAGGUUGCCUUGCAUCUCUUACAGGAAACCUUUGCCACUCUUUCUAAGUUCACUUUCUCCACCCGUCCCUGCAGGCUUCUUAGUCAUCUACUUGGCAGCUGCUGGGUCUGGGUUACUCACAGGCUUGCCUAAUCACACCUGGAAGAAGGGAGCUUGAAGCACGUCCCGAGUGAGCGAUGGCGCCCACGGGCUAGCCCGCCCUGCCCCUGCCUCUGCCUGGCCGGCCCACCGCCUGAUGUCACCCCAUGUGCACCAGGCCAAUCAGCACCACGGGUACUUCAGCGGGUACCUGUGUGCAUUUAAAACGUGAUCUCCCUGCCUUCUGAAUUCUGGUCCAGCUUCACAUUCCUGCUUUUGUGCCUUCUCUGCCAUGGUGGACUUUAUCCCUCUGGAACUGUAAAAGAGAAGACACCUGAGGUACUCCCCCCGGGAGAAUUGACUGAGGAGCCCCCGCCAGGACAUCUAAACAGCCU
rnacentral:lncRNA from 1 species